AGCAGCGAAUUUCCCCUAACGAACAGCGUCAGUGUUUUGUAGUUGCUGAAUGCCGUUUCUUCAAACGAUUUCAAUUCUUAUUUUGGUCUCUUUAUGGUGGUGACUUAUUAGCUAUGCCGGUCAAUUGGCGGCGGCGCAGCAAGUAAUGAGGGGGAAAGAAUUCCCAGACGCGCAGGCGCAAGAAGCUUCACUUCUCACAAAAACACAAAAAUUAAUAACUUUGGGCGGAUGAUCGCAAUUCUGAUCAGUUGUGAAGUCGAGCUCAAACAGUGAAGUACGCGAGUUGGUGGCCAGAAAAAAUAAAUAAAAUAAAAGAAUGCUGUCAAAAGUGCAAGAACACACAUAGAAUUCAUAGAAUUUUUUAAGAAGAUUUAAAAAUAUAUUUCGAAAUAUUAGAAUUUUACUACUGCGGUUUAGCAUUUGAGUCAAGCUAAAUAUGUUUUAUUUAACUUUCAAUUGGCCGAGCAAUUGGAAACGAACGGGAGCCGAAUUUCAGUUGCGAUCGCGUAACGAACGUUUAAUGAGCUGCGGGGUUAAGACCUUCCACAGCAAAUACGCGAUAGUCGUUAUCGCCGCAAGCCUGCGUUGGCGCUCACAGUACGGUCCAGCCGGCGCUUGGCUACACUGCCUGCCGGCACUAGUCGCUUAGUUGUGUCAGCUGGCCGGUGCUGCGUUGGCGUUAUCGUCUCGUAUACACUUUUUUAGUUUCCACACGUGAUAGCAACAGAUCAAAUACCAAUAUCGGAUAUUAUAUUAUGGGAAUUUUGCUAAUAUUGAGCGAAACCAAGCCGAAAUUUGGACUCAGAUGAUUUACGACAUAUGGUAGCAAUCUUCUAAAAUAUCUUAAAAGAGUUUGAGUGAUUAAAUUAUAAAAAUUAAGUGAAGUGAAGCAUUGAAGUUCAUAAUAUUAACACUAAUAUCGCUUUUCUAAGUACUAGUGCCGCAGGAGAUAGUUCAAACGACAUAUAGUAGACCCCUGCUGCCCCAGUGCUUAUCAAAGCGUUUCUAGUGUCAACUAAUUACCGUUAUAAAAGUGAAAAUUUUGAUGAGAUCAACAGAGGGAAGUGCAUAAGUGAAACAAACAAACAGUAUUUUUGUGAUACUAUUUGAAAGUGAAUGGUUAAUGAUGAAUAGAGUAGUUCAGUGGGAGAGAGCUCAUAUAUCAUUCUGGUGUAUCAAAAAAUUGGCUGCAACGAAAUAGCUACUUUCUUAAAAUCUAUUUCAAAAACUCCCAGUGUUUUCAAAAACAAACUUUUGUGGAUAAUAUUAAAAUAAAAACCCACCGAUCGGAAGUGAACCACGUCUAGGGCUGGAACAUGGUGUAAGUAUGGUCAUCUAUUGAAAUUACAAAAACCGAUGUGGAGGUAAAAUGGUUUAAAUUGAGAACUUAUUUCUUCACAAUAUAAAUAUUCACUUACUACAGCAACCUUGGUGUUUGUCCCAACAAUUUGAGAUCUUCUUAACUUUGUUUUCAAAUUAACCAAAUUUAAAUUUCUCUCACGUCCGAAACUAGUUAAAACGUCUACACAUUUUAGCCGAAGCGCAAAGGAACAAUAACAGCGCAGUAAAGAAUGCGUCAAGGAUGGGAAAACUGAGUGAUUUCAUGAGAAGAAUUUCUAUCUUGUUUAUGGUGGAAGGUCGACCUAGCCUACAACUACCAUAUGGCGCGAAAUGUGAUUGAUUCAAUAUGAUAAAGCUUGAAAUGCCGACGUUUGGAGGCAUGCAAUUUCGUUCCAGAGCCCAGCCUGAGUCGUAUCAAUCAAGUCGUAGUAAUCAUCAAGAGUGCGCUUUUUUUCUUUAACAUCUAAAUAAACCCUCCAAAAUACAUAACAUAUUUCAAAUGGAAGGUGUUUCAAAGCCUUUAAAAAAGAAAAGCUCAUAUUAAAACUUCUUUAAAAGAACUAUAUACAUUUUUUUUAAAUUUUAUUGGAAGUUUAUUGCUCUUUUAUUGCUUUAUUUAUUAUUUAUUUAAUAAUAAUUAAUUUCUUUUUA